AGUUCUCCAGUUCUUGGGGCGUUGGUCUCUGGAAAGUAAAGUUUCGCUUCUGCUGCAGAAAUAGACCAAAAGUCCCAACCAAUUGAAGGUAGCGGUGAAGAAAUUUGCAAGACGAUAAGGAUCACAGCAAUCAGACGCUCAAGUUUCUUCAUUCCAUGUUCAAAAGUUGAUUUGUAUAUGGUGAAGCAUAUGAUACUUUUGUUUCAAACUCCAAAUUUCUACAAGUUCCAAGAAUUUAGUU
rnacentral:misc_RNA from 1 species